CCUCCUCCCCGGUAGCGGACAGCCCCAGAAGAGACUGGCUAUGACAAAGAGAACUGGGGGACUUAAGAAGAAAAGCCAAUUGGUCCUCCCACCUCUUGGGCUGGUCCUAGCACCCGCCUUUCUAACAUGCAGAUGUCUCCUCUCUCUUCCAACAAUGAUGCCUGCCUCUCCACCCCUCUAUAUUGGAGUCUCAGCACUAUAACAUCACUACAGAUGUUCCUUGAACUACAAUGCAGUUACAUCUCAAGAAACCCAUCCUAACUCUUCAUGGGGGUACAAAAGCUCAGGUUAUCUUUAGAGAUUCUCCAAGAUCUGAUUUCUCUUUAUCAUCCUGGGUGAGCGCCUGCAAGUUUGUCUACAUCCCUUGGACAACUUGCCUCCCUAUUUGCAGCAGAAGCUUCCAGGCACAGACUGAGGAAUGCAGAGAGCAGGACUGUCACCUCUCCACGCCUGUCACACAACUGGCUAUUACUCUACUUGCUGCCACACAUACACCCCCUCCUCCACCCACACAGUUCUUCUCACAUUGCUGCUGUUAAUCCAAGCCUUUUCCACCUUGUUCUCUGUUAAAUUUUAAAGUGAAAAAUACCGAUUUUACUAAAGAUUUCAUACAGGAUAUGGGGAAGAGGAGGAUUAUAUCACAUGGAACACGGUAUUUCUAUCUACAAACUCCGCUAAGCAGGUUUACUGUCUCCUCAAAGUCUCUCUGCAGCUGGCCCCGAGCCAGGGUGGAUCCAGGUUUUGUGGGACCUGGAGCUUACAGUUUGGUGUGUCUUUUUUAGGAAAAAGAAUACAGAAUUACUUAUGAAAUAUUUAAUUACAAUG